GGAAGGGUGGCUGAGUGGUUGAAAGCACCGCUUUCGAAAAGCGGCAGGCCCGAAAGGGUCUCGGGAGUUCGAAUCUCCCCCCUUCCG
rnacentral:tRNA from 1 species